AAAAAAAACAAUGUACGACACAACUUGCAUAACAAAUUAUGAUCAAAAUCGGAACAUAAUCUUUACUUUUUAAUUUCAGAAUUACAAUGUAUUGUGGUUGUUUAUAAAAAAAUAAUCAAACGAGUUUGUUAAAAAUAAAUAACCUUAAUUUGUACUGAGCGUUACAAACGAUGUUCGCAGCGGAAACUAUACAGGUAUACAAAUGUGUGAGGUUUAAAACAAUAUUUCUCUUUUCUUACAUUUUCGUACCUUAUUUUAAUACAACAUCAAAACUCAAAUUCAAAACAUAAUUUAUUGAUCGGCAAGUUUUUAAAUAAUACAGUUUUCAACUCGUCCCGCCGAUAUUCUCGUUAUCUCUCGCACCUAUGAAAAAUUAUACAUCCGACGAAAAGUUUGUUUAAUAUUACAUUACGAACUCGGUUUUAUCGUACCAAUACACUAUUUGAGUUCACCUAUUGUGUUUGUGACAAAUUUCUAAAACACCGAAUUACAUCAAUAAAAUAUCUUAAUAUUGUGAAUAAAAAAUAGCGUAAGAUUUCAAUAUCUAACAACAAUGCAAUAAUAUGUUUUGUAAAAACCGUUCCGCGGUAAAAUAUUAUAAUAAUACUCAGCAGACGGCGGCGCGGUGGUGGUGAUUAUCUGAAAUGGUUACUGCGAAUAUACAAUAUAGAUACAUUCACAAUUUCACAAAUCGCCGAUAAGAUAAAAACAAAAACAAAAAAAAGAAAGUAGAUUAUUUAGUGUCUUAUCAUAACGAUAUUAUUCGACACGUCGGAAAACCCGAAAACAAUAGAACAAAUGGACCACAAAGUACUUACGCACCUACGUCUUUGUCAGUUAACGAAAACC